rnacentral:lncRNA from 1 species
AGAUAAGCUGUGUAUUUUAUGAUAGAUAAUGCAUUUAUCAACACUUUUCUCUUUUAUUUUUAAAAGACACUCAGUAUAAAUAUAAAAAAGAAGAUGUGGUAUGAUUGCCAAUGAGACAACUAUCCACAAAAGACCAAAAUGACACAGACAUUAACAACUAUAGGUCACCGUACGGCCUUCAAUAAUGAGCAAAGCCCAUACCGCA